CAAAUUUAGCCACUUUUCGACAGUUUUAUCCCCAGUUGCUGGUGUUAUAUUAUCCUAGCUCGGGGCGUCGACCUUUCCGGGAACCACAUUCGUUCGCUGUCGUUAAGAUGCAAUUGAAGUAUUUUCUUUGAAUUAUCUUUAAGUUUGCGUUCGAAGUUGGAUUCGUCCAUCGAGUAGUUAAUAAUGAUCCGAUCCAAGAAUGUCUUUAAUUUGUGUUUGGAUCUGCUAAGUUUAGCUCCCGCUAUCAUCGCUUGCGAAAUUGCUCAAUCAUCCACUUAUGUUAAAAUACUUUCGGGGCAGCUAAUAGCUUUGAACGCUGGCCUUGUUGAAAUGAUGGAAAAUUUGUCACGAGUACAUGACAUGAUGCAAUAAUGCGAAAUAUUGGUGCAGUAUUGAGAAAUAACAUGCAAUAUUCCUACAUAUCUAUACCCACAACAAAAAAAUACAAUGAAAAAAAAUUGUUGCCAAGGGCGAAACGCAAGGAAAAACAUAUGCAUAAAAUGAAUAAUGUACAAGUUUGUGGUAAUAAUGUUACGGCAGUGCUCUUCAACCGGUGCACCCAA